rnacentral:lncRNA from 1 species
NNNNNNNNNNNNNNNNNNNNNNNNNNNNNNNNNNNNNNNNNNNNNNNNNNNNNNNNNNNNNNNNNNNNNACACACACACACACACACCCCACGGGGCACCGGUGGCCACUUCUGGGGUGUCGGUGGCCACCAAGGAGCCGUGCCAUGAUGCCAUCGCUGCUGGUCCUGCUGGUGGCCACGGUGGUGGCCAGCGGGGUGGCCCACCCCCCCGGGGUGUCGUCGGGGUGGCCGGGUGGCACGGCGCGGGCCCUCGUGGUGGCCGGGGGGGGCCGUGCGCAGCGGGUGCGGGUAAGGAGGGCCGGGGGAGGGCGAGGGCUACGGGCGAGGGGCAACGGGCAAGCGCGGGCCGUGUGGAAACGGCGGCCCCGGGGUCAAACUCCGGCGGCACACGGCACCGCGGGGGGGGGAGGGUGGCAGCGUGGCGUGUGGCGUGGCACGGAAUGGCGUGGCAUGGUGCCGUGUGGCACCGUGUGGCACCGUGCCAUCACGCGUGGCAUUGGAAUGGCGUGGCGUGGCACGGAACGGUGCCGUGUGGCAUGAAAUGGCGUGGCAUGGAAUGGCGUGGCACGGCAUGGGACGGUGCCGUGUGGCACCGUGUGGCACCGUGCCAUCAUGCGUGGCUUGGCGUGGCACAGAAUGGCAUGGAUUGGCAUGGAAUGGCACCGUGCCAUCAUGCGUGGCAUUGGAAUGGUGCCGUGUGGCACGGCUUGGCGUGGAAUGGCACCGUGUGGCACUGUGCCAUCAUGUGUGGCAUGGAAUGGCUUGGAACGGAAAGGCACCGUAUGACACCGUGCAUGGCAUGGCUUGGUUUGGCAUGGCAUUGGAAUGGCAUGGCUUGGCUUGGCACAGAAAGGCACCGUGUGGCACCGUGCCAUCACGCGUGGCAUUGGAAUGGCGUGGAUUGGCAUGGAAUGGUGCCGUGUGGCACCGUGCCAUCACGUGUGGCAUGGCGUGGCAUGGAUUGGCACGGAAUGGCGCUGUGUGGCACCGUGCCAUCAUGUGUGGCGUGGCGUGGCAUGGCAUGGCACGGGAUGGCACCGUGUGGCACAGAAUGGCACGGCUUGGCUUGGAAUGGCACCAUGCCAUCAUGCGUGGCAUGGCACAGAAUGGCAUGGCUUGGCACGGGAUGGUGCCGUGUGGCACCGUGCCAUCAUGUGUGGCUUGGCAUGGAUUGGCAUGGAAUGGCACCACGUGGCACUGUGCCAUCACGUGUGGCAUGGAAUGGCGUGGCACAGAAUGGCUUGGCAUGGAAUGGCGUGGCACUGUGUGGCACGGCUUGGCACGGAAUGGUGCCAUGCAGCACGGUGAUGGGUGGCAUGGCUUGGCACGGAAUGGCACCGUGUGGCACCAUGCCAUCACACACAGCAUUGGAAUGGCAUGGCACGGAAUGGCACGGCUUGGCAUGGAAUGGCACCAUGUGGCACGGUGAUGGGUGGUGUGGCAUGGAAUGGUGUGGCACAGAAUGGCUUAGCUUGGCGUGGAAUGGCACCGUGUGGCACUGUGCCAUCAUGUGUGGCAUGGCAUGGCAUGGCACAGAAUGGCAUAGCACUGUGCGGCAUGAUGUGGCACAAUG